rnacentral:lncRNA from 1 species
AGACAGCUCAUUCUCGCGGACCCGAAAGACAAUAUCUCUAAGAUGAUCAUCCUGCAUCCAGUCAAGUUCUCCACCAUCCCCAACACCACUAAGUGACUCCAUCUCAGUGAGCAUAUCUAAAGGUUGAUCGACUCUAUCUUUUGCAGCCAUGUAGUUAUUUCUAAAUCCCGCUCUAAUUUGCUUCACUAUUGGCUCAACUUCAUGGAAGUUUUUCUCAAGCCAGUUUUCUGUCUUUCCAGACACCUUUGUUUCUGUACUAAUGUCAUUAACUUCAUCUAAAGUGGUACCUGAAUUAAGAUGGUUUCUUAUUCCAGGUUCAACACCAGCAACUUCUGUUUUGCCUAAUUCCUUAUUCUUCUGAUCAGAAACUUCAAUAGAAUUUAUGCCAGGCUUAGAAUCUGAUAAUCCAUUUAAAGCAUCACUCCUGAUUUGCUCAACUUUGAGGAGGUUCUUG